UUGUCGCCACAACGGCUUCCUGACGUGGCGAUUUACUUCUAUCGGAGCA
rfam:Shimia marina strain CECT 7688 genome assembly, contig: 0035